UACGUAGGGACCAAGCGUUGUUCGGAUUUACUGGGCGUAAAGGGCGCGUAGGCGGCAAUUCAAGUCAUCUGUGAAAUCUCCGGGCUUAACUCGGAACGGUCAGAUGAUACUGCUUUGCUAGAGUGCGGAAGGGGCAAUCGGAAUUCUUGGUGUAGCGGUGAAAUGCGUAGAUAUCAAGAGGAACACCUGAGGUGAAGACGGGUUGCUGGGCCGACACUGACGCUGAUAGCGCGAAAACCAGGGGAGCAAACGGG
rnacentral:rRNA from 1 species